rnacentral:rRNA from 1 species
AUGUGUUUUUCGACAACUUUCUAUCAUGUUGUACAUGUUCCUGCAAGGAUCACCGCACAUGCUCAGUAUGUUCCUAGGGCAUUUUCAGACAUGGUAGCACGACAAAUAUCAGUAAUGCAUGAGAGUAAGAUAAAAAGGUCAAGCAAUGAAAUUAUUUUCAUACCAAUUGGUUCAGGCAACUUAAGGCCUUUCCUAAGUCCAUCAAUCCCAGCAGCGACAAUAGCAGCAAGCCCCAAGUGCGGAUUUGCGCACCCAUCAAAUGAUUUAAUUUCGAAGUUGCUGACCAUGUCGAGAGGCACACCAGGUGGGCAUGCGGUUCUCAAUGGAGCCUCCCGGUUUUCUUUCCCCCAGCAUAGGUAA